AUUGAACGCUGGCGGCAUGCCUUACACAUGCAAGUCGAACGGCAGCACGGGAGCAAUCCUGGUGGCGAGUGGCGAACGGGUGAGUAAUAUAUCGGAACGUGCCCGGUCGUGGGGGAUAACGUAGCGAAAGCUACGCUAAUACCGCAUACGAUCUACGGAUGAAAGCGGGGGAUCGCAAGACCUCGCGCGAUUGGAGCGGCCGAUAUCAGAUUAGGUAGUUGGUGAGGUAAAGGCUCACCAAGCCGACGAUCUGUAGCUGGUCUGAGAGGACGACCAGCCACACUGGGACUGAGACACGGCCCAGACUCCUACGGGAGGCAGCAGUGGGGAAUUUUGGACAAUGGGCGCAAGCCUGAUCCAGCAAUGCCGCGUGCAGGAUGAAGG
rnacentral:rRNA from 1 species